CCUAUGGGAGGCAGCAGUGAGGAAUAUUGGUCAAUGGACGAGAGUCUGAACCAGCCAAGUAGCGUGAAGGAUGACGGCCCUAUGGGUUGUAAACUUCUUUUAUAAAGGAAUAAAACGAGGCACGUGUGCCUUUUUGCAUGUACGUUAUGAAUAAGGAUCGGCUAACUCCGUGCCAGCAGCCGCGGUAAUACGGAGGAUCCGAGCGUUAUCCGGAUUUAUUUGGUUUAAAGGGAGCGUAGAUGGGUUGGUAAGUCAGUGGUGCAAGUUUGCGGCUCAACCGUCAAAUUGCCAGUGAUACUGGCAGUCUUGUGUACAGUUGCGGUAAGCGGCAUUCGUGUUGUAGCGGUGACCUGCUUAGAUCUCACG
rnacentral:rRNA from 1 species